UCAAAAACAUGUCCUUUUGAAAUUCAUAUAAGGUCUAACCUGCCCAAUGAUUAAUUUUGAAUGGCCGCGGUAUAUUAACUGUGCUAAGGUAGCAUAAUCAUUUGUCUUUUAAUUAAAGGCUAGAAUGAACGGUUGGACGAGGUAAAAGCUUUCUUUAAUUUAAUUUAUGAAUUUAAUUUUUCAGUCAAAAAGCUGAAAUAUAUUUGAGGGACGAGAAGACCCUAUAGAUCUUUAUAUUUUUAUUUAUUAUAUAUUUUAGAGUAUUAAUUAUUAUAAUAAAUUUAAGUAUUUGGUUGGGGCGACUAUAGAAUAUAAUAAACUUCUAUUUAUUAAUAUUCAUUAAUAAGUGUUUAAUUGAUCCAUUUUUAGUGAUUAAAAGAUUAAGUUACCUUAGGGAUAACAGCGUAAUUUUUUCGGAGAGUUCAUAUCGAUGAAGAAGUUUGCGACCUCGAUGUUGGAUUAAAAUAAGUUUUGGGUGCAGAAGCUCAAAUACUAGGUCUGUUCGACCUUUAAUUUUUUACAUGAUCUGAGU
rnacentral:rRNA from 1 species